rnacentral:rRNA from 1 species
CCUACGGGAGGCAGCAGUGGGGAAUAUUGCACAAUGGGGGAAACCCUGAUGCAGCGACGCCGCGUGAGUGAAGAAGUAUUUCGGUAUGUAAAGCUCUAUCAGCAGGGAAGAAAAUGACGGUACCUGAUUAAGAAGCCCCGGCUAAGUACGUGCCAGCAGCCGCGGUAAGACGUAGGGGGCAAGCGUUAUACGGAUUUACUGGGUGUAAAGGGAGCGUAGACGGCAGCACAAGUCUGGAGUGAAAUGCCGGGGCUUAACCCCGGAACUGCUUUGGAAACUGUGCAGCUAGAGUGCAGGAGAGGUAAGUGGAAUUCCUAGUGUAGCGGUGAAAUGCGUAGAUAUUAGGAGGAACACCAGUGGCGAAGGCGGCUUACUGGACUGUAACUGACGUUGAGGCUCGAAAGCGUGGGGAGCAAACAGGAUUAGAUACCCCAGUAGUC